AAAUGAGAAACAAAAUUUGUAUUUAGUUUCGACCUAAAAUUUUGGAAUUUGCCUUCCCUCAUUUG
rnacentral:tRNA from 1 species